rnacentral:misc_RNA from 1 species
AUGCGUAACUCCCUUUUCCAGAGAGGGUCUCUAGGGCAACAAAUGAGGGAGUCGGUUGAAGAAGGGCUUUUUCAGAGGACAACGCAAACCCAACUCCCAAGAGAGUAUGGGCGCUGGGGAACAAUCAAACGAGAGUUGAUCUCCAUGGAGUUCCUCGCCCAACCGGAAGACGAAGUGGUUCAGCUUUUAUUUAUUACAUUAGGCUCUUUGAGACCUUCUUG